UACGUAGGGCGCAAGCGUUGUCCGGAAUUAUUGGGCGUAAAGAGCUCGUAGGUGGUUUGUUACGUCUGCUGUGAAAUCCUAGGGCUUAACCCUGGGCUUGCAGUGGAUACGGGCAGACUAGAGGUAGGUAGGGGAGAAUGGAAUUCCUGGUGUAGCGGUGAAAUGCGCAGAUAUCAGGAGGAACACCGGUGGAGAAGGCAGCUAGCUGGGACGUUACUGACACUGAGGCGCGAAAGCGUGGGGAGCGAACAGG
rnacentral:rRNA from 1 species